UGUUGGAUAAAGUGUUCUAAAGAUGUCAGUCAGGUCAAGGUGGAUGAGAAUGGUCAAAUGCUUGAGAUACCCAGUAGUCAUUCAAGCAGAGUUGUCUGGGAGUAUUUGGAAAUACAGAUUUGGAACUCCAUUGAGAGGCUGGGACUAGAUACAUUUUGGAAUAAUCAGCAUAGAUGAUAUUUAUAAUAAUAAUAUGAGUAAGGUCACAUAGGGAAAGAAAGCAGAUAGAGAAGAGAUGAUAAAACUGAGCCCUAGAGCAUUCCAGCAUUUAGAGAUUGAGAACAAGGGAAGCAACUAGCAAAACAAACUGAUAAGGGGCUUUCAAUAAGGUAAGAAAGAAAGCAAAGGGCAGACUUUUGGAAGCAAAGUAAAGUAAAUAUUUCAAGAAGGAAGGAAAUUCUGUUAAAUGACUUUAGAGAUUAAAUAAGAAUGGGCAACCAGUUCUCUUCACCAUCCUCAGCUUAUACUCUUCUGGAGUGUAUCCUGGACCACUGGGACUGCUUUGACCCUCAGAAUCUGGAGGAACAGUGCCUCAUAGCUCCCUGCACAAAGGAAGGAGACAGGAGCAGAUUUGGCUGCAGAAGAGGAAAAGGCAAUGUGACCACAGAAGCGGAGACUGGAGUCAUGUGGGUACCUGCCAAGAACACCAGCAGACAGCCAUCAGAGGAUGGAAGAGGCAAGAGACAGAUUCUCCCCUGAAACCUCCUGAAGGAUCCAACCCUGAUGACACCUUGAUGUUAGUCCUAUACAACUCAUUUUGAAUUUAUACUUAAUUGUAAUUGUUCCAGCUUCCAGAACUAUAAAAACAAAACAAACAAAAAAAAACCCAAAAAACAUUUCUAUUGUUUUAAGCCACAGGGUUUGUGGUAAUUUGUUACAACAGCAAUAGAUAAUACAUGCAUAUUUGAAACUUUUUGGAAUUUUAAGCCUAAUAAAUGUCCAUAUCCAUUAAUACUGAUUCUGUAAUAUAGGCAAACUAUAGAAAAGUAAAGAUUAACACAGCAAAAGUGGUUCAAAUUGCUCUGAUGCCACCUAACUGGCAAACAUAACUAGCAUCUUUUGUGAUUCACAGUUUUCACCUUUUGUAUUGUUGAUGGCAUUUCCCAACUGCUAUUAUAUCUUUUCAUUAAUAGUGUUCAUCAUUCUCACCUCAAAUUCUUCUGAAAUAUGUAGCUGUUAUGAUUGACAAUUUUUAUAUAUUAGCUAUUUCUAUGUAAACAACAAAGCAAAUGGGUACUGUCAGUUGCAGUUUUUUUCUAAAUGCCCCUUAAUAAUCAAUCUACAUUUUCUCAGGGAACUGAUAUUCUAGAAAUCACUCUAACCUAAGAUGGUACAGUGCUAAAAAUGCCUCAAGCAUAGAGACAUUCAAGAUAAAUUUAGAUUCUAUUCACACCACCCCAUUAAGGCAAUGAUAUUCUAGAAUGGUCUGUAAAUAACCAGGUGGCAUCCUUGU